AAAUUGAAGAGUUUGAUCAUGGCUCAGAUUGAACGCUGGCGGCAGGCCUAACACAUGCAAGUCGAACGGUAACAGGAAGCAGCUUGCUGCUUCGCUGACGAGUGGCGGACGGGUGAGUAAUGUCUGGGAAACUGCCUGAUGGAGAGGGAUAACUACUGGAAACGGUGGCUAAUACCGCAUAACGUCGCAAGACCAAAGAGGGGGACCUUCGGGCCUCUUGCCAUCAGAUGUGCCCAGAUGGGAUUAGCUUGUUGGUGAGGUAACGGCUCACCAAGGCGACGAUCCCUAGCUGGUCUGAGAGGAUGACCAGCCACACUGGAACUGAGACACGGUCCAGACUCCUACGGGAGGCAGCAGUGGGGAAUAUUGCACAAUGGGCGCAAGCCUGAUGCAGCCAUGCCGCGUGUAUGAAGAAGGCCUUCGGGUUGUAAAGUACUUUCAGCGGGGAGGAAGGUGUUGUGGUUAAUAACCGCAGCAAUUGACGUUACCCGCAGAAGAAGCACCGGCUAACUCCGUGCCAGCAGCCGCGGUAAUACGGAGGGUGCAAGCGUUAAUCGGAAUUACUGGGCGUAAAGCGCACGCAGGCGGUCUGUCAAGUCGGAUGUGAAAUCCCCGGGCUCAACCUGGGAACUGCAUUCGAAACUGGCAGGCUUGAGUCUUGUAGAGGGGGGUAGAAUUCCAAGUGUAGCGGUGAAAUGCGUAGAGAUCUGGAGGAAUACCGGUGGCGAAGGCGGCCCCCUGGACAAAGACUGACGCUCAGGUGCGAAAGCGUGGGGAGCAAACAGGAUUAGAUACCCUGGUAGUCCACGCCGUAAACGAUGUCUACUUGGAGGUUGUGCCCUUGAGGCGUGGCUUCCGGAGCUAACGCGUUAAGUAGACCGCCUGGGGAGUACGGCCGCAAGGUUAAAACUCAAAUGAAUUGACGGGGGCCCGCACAAGCGGUGGAGCAUGUGGUUUAAUUCGAUGCAACGCGAAGAACCUUACCUGGUCUUGACAUCCACAGAAGAAUCCAGAGAUGGAUUUGUGCCUUCGGGAACUGUGAGACAGGUGCUGCAUGGCUGUCGUCAGCUCGUGUUGUGAAAUGUUGGGUUAAGUCCCGCAACGAGCGCAACCCUUAUCCUUUGUUGCCAGCGGUUAGGCCGGGAACUCAAAGGAGACUGCCAGUGAUAAACUGGAGGAAGGUGGGGAUGACGUCAAGUCAUCAUGGCCCUUACGACCAGGGCUACACACGUGCUACAAUGGCGCAUACAAAGAGAAGCGACCUCGCGAGAGCAAGCGGACCUCAUAAAGUGCGUCGUAGUCCGGAUUGGAGUCUGCAACUCGACUCCAUGAAGUCGGAAUCGCUAGUAAUCGUGGAUCAGAAUGCCACGGUGAAUACGUUCCCGGGCCUUGUACACACCGCCCGUCACACCAUGGGAGUGGGUUGCAAAAGAAGUAGGUAGCUUAACCUUCGGGAGGGCGCUUACCACUUUGUGAUUCAUGACUGGGGUGAAGUCGUAACAAGGUAACCGUAGGGGAACCUGCGGUUGGAUCACCUCCUUA
rnacentral:rRNA from 1 species